rnacentral:rRNA from 1 species
UUGAACGCUGGCGGCAUGCUUUACACAUGCAAGUCGAACGGCAGCGGGGGCUUCGGCCUGCCGGCGAGUGGCGAACGGGUGAGUAAUGCAUCGGAACGUACCCAGUCGUGGGGGAUAACUACGCGAAAGCGUAGCUAAUACCGCAUACGUCCUGAGGGAGAAAGCGGGGGAUCUUCGGACCUCGCGCGAUUGGAGCGGCCGAUGUCGGAUUAGCUAGUAGGUGAGGUAAAGGCUCACCUAGGCGACGAUCCGUAGCGGGUCUGAGAGGAUGAUCGGCCACACUGGGACUGAGACACGGCCCAGACUCCUACGGGAGGCAGCAGUGGGGAAUUUUGGACAAUGGGCGCAAGCCUGAUCCAGCCAUGCCGCGUGAGUGAAGGAGGCCUUCGGGUUGUAAAACUCUUUCGGCAGGAACGAAACGGUGAGCUCUAACAUAGCUUGCUAAUGACGGUACCUGAAGAAGAAGCACCGGCUAACUACGU